rnacentral:rRNA from 1 species
UUAAGCGACUAAGCGUACACGGUGGAUGCCCUGGCAGUCAGAGGCGAUGAAGGACGUGCUAAUCUGCGAAAAGCGUCGGUAAGGUGAUAUGAACCGUUAUAACCGGCGAUGUCCGAAUGGGGAAACCCAGUGUGAUUCGUCACACUAUCGUUAACUGAAUACAUAGGUUAACGAGGCGAACCGGGGGAACUGAAACAUCUAAGUACCCCGAGGAAAAGAAAUCAACCGAGAUUCCCCCAGUAGCGGCGAGCGAACGGGGAGCAGCCCAGAGUCUGAAUCAGCUUGUGUGUUAGUGGAACGGUCUGGAAAGUCCGACGGUACAGGGUGAUAGUCCCGUACACCAAAAUGCACAGGUUGUGAACUCGAAGAGUAGGGCGGGACACGUGGUAUCCUGUCUGAAUAUGGGGGGACCAUCCUCCAAGGCUAAAUACUCCUGACUGACCGAUAGUGAACCAGUACCGUGAGGGAAAGGCGAAAAGAACCCCGGCGAGGGGAGUGAAAAAGAACCUGAAACCGUGUACGUACAAGCAGUGGGAGCACCUUCGGGUGUGACUGCGUACCUUUUGUAUAAUGGGUCAGCGACUUAUAUUCUGUAGCAAGGUUAACCGUAUAGGGGAGCCGCAGGGAAACCGAGUCUUAACUGGGCGUUAAGUUGCAGGGUAUAGACCCGAAACCCGGUGAUCUAGCCAUGGGCAGGUUGAAGGUUGGGUAACACUAACUGGAGGACCGAACCGACUAAUGUUGAAAAAUUAGCGGAUGACUUGUGGCUGGGGGUGAAAGGCCAAUCAAACCGGGAGAUAGCUGGUUCUCCCCGAAAGCUAUUUAGGUAGCGCCUCGUGAACUCAUCUUCGGGGGUAGAGCACUGUUUCGGCUAGGGGGUCAUCCCGACUUACCAACCCGAUGCAAACUACGAAUACCGAAGAAUGUUAUCACGGGAGACACACGGCGGGUGCUAACGUCCGUCGUGAAGAGGGAAACAACCCAGACCGCCAGCUAAGGUCCCAAAGUCAUGGUUAAGUGGGAAACGAUGUGGGAAGGCACAGACAGCCAGGAUGUUGGCUUAGAAGCAGCCAUCAUUUAAAGAAAGCGUAAUAGCUCACUGGUCGAGUCGGCCUGCGCGGAAGAUGUAACGGGGCUAAACCAUGCACCGAAGCUGCGGCAGCGACACUAUGUGUUGUUGGGUAGGGGAGCGUUCUGUAAGCCUGCGAAGGUGUGCUGUGAGGCAUGCUGGAGGUAUCAGAAGUGCGAAUGCUGACAUAAGUAACGAUAAAGCGGGUGAAAAGCCCGCUCGCCGGAAGACCAAGGGUUCCUGUCCAACGUUAAUCGGGGCAGGGUGAGUCGACCCCUAAGGCGAGGCCGAAAGGCGUAGUCGAUGGGAAACAGGUUAAUAUUCCUGUACUUGGUGUUACUGCGAAGGGGGGACGGAGAAGGCUAUGUUAGCCGGGCGACGGUUGUCCCGGUUUAAGCAUGUAGGCUGGUUAUCCAGGCAAAUCCGGAUAAUCAAGGCUGAGGUGUGAUGACGAGGCACUACGGUGCUGAAGUAACAAAUGCCCUGCUUCCAGGAAAAGCCUCUAAGCAUCAGGUAACAUCAAAUCGUACCCCAAACCGACACAGGUGGUCAGGUAGAGAAUACCAAGGCGCUUGAGAGAACUCGGGUGAAGGAACUAGGCAAAAUGGUGCCGUAACUUCGGGAGAAGGCACGCUGGUGUGUAGGUGAAGUCCCUGCGGAUGGAGCUGAGACCAGUCGAAGAUACCAGCUGGCUGCAACUGUUUAUUAAAAACACAGCACUGUGCAAACACGAAAGUGGACGUAUACGGUGUGACGCCUGCCCGGUGCCGGAAGGUUAAUUGAUGGGGUUAUCCGUAAGGAGAAGCUCUUGAUCGAAGCCCCGGUAAACGGCGGCCGUAACUAUAACGGUCCUAAGGUAGCGAAAUUCCUUGUCGGGUAAGUUCCGACCUGCACGAAUGGCGUAAUGAUGGCCAGGCUGUCUCCACCCGAGACUCAGUGAAAUUGAACUCGCUGUGAAGAUGCAGUGUACCCGCGGCAAGACGGAAAGACCCCGUGAACCUUUACUAUAGCUUGACACUGAACAUUGAGCCUUGAUGUGUAGGAUAGGUGGGAGGCUUUGAAGCGUGGACGCCAGUCUGCGUGGAGCCAACCUUGAAAUACCACCCUUUAAUGUUUGAUGUUCUAACGUUGGCCCCUGACCGGGGUUGCGGACAGUGUCUGGUGGGUAGUUUGACUGGGGCGGUCUCCUCCCAAAGCGUAACGGAGGAGCACGAAGGUUAGCUAAUCCUGGUCGGACAUCAGGAGGUUAGUGCAAUGGCAUAAGCUAGCUUGACUGCGAGCGUGACGGCGCGAGCAGGUGCGAAAGCAGGUCAUAGUGAUCCGGUGGUUCUGAAUGGAAGGGCCAUCGCUCAACGGAUAAAAGGUACUCCGGGGAUAACAGGCUGAUACCGCCCAAGAGUUCAUAUCGACGGCGGUGUUUGGCACCUCGAUGUCGGCUCAUCACAUCCUGGGGCUGAAGUAGGUCCCAAGGGUAUGGCUGUUCGCCAUUUAAAGUGGUACGCGAGCUGGGUUUAGAACGUCGUGAGACAGUUCGGUCCCUAUCUGCCGUGGGCGCUGGAGAAUUGAGGGGGGCUGCUCCUAGUACGAGAGGACCGGAGUGGACGCAUCACUGGUGUUCGGGUUGUCAUGCCAAUGGCACUGCCCGGUAGCUAAAUGCGGAAGAGAUAAGUGCUGAAAGCAUCUAAGCACGAAACUUGCCCCGAGAUGAGUUCUCCCUGAGACUUUAAGUCUCCUGAAGGAACGUUAAAGACGAUGACGUUGAUAGGCCGGGUGUGUAAGCGCAGCGAUGCGUUGAGCUAACCGGUACUAAUGAACCGUGAGGCUUAACCU